GAUGAAGAACGUAGCGAAAUGCGAUAAGUAAUGUGAAUUGCAGAAUUCAGUGAAUCAUCGAAUCUUUGAACGCACCUUGCACCCUUUGGCAUUCUGAAGGGUAUGCUCGUUUGAGUGCCAUUGUACUCUCACACUCCCGAUCUUUGCAUUGGGAGCAGUGGACUUGGGUUUGCUGCUUCACCGUCGCUUACCUCAAAUAGGUUAGUGCAACUCUUGGUUGGACAUAGUACGGCGUGAUAAGUGUUCUUCGCCGGUGCCUCGCAAAGAGGGUGGCCGAUCGGGAUGUUGUGCUCCAAACCGUCUUCGGACAAUCUCUGACGACUUGACCUCAAAUCGAGUAAGACUACCCGCUGAACUUAAGCAUAUCAAUAAGCGGAGGA
rnacentral:misc_RNA from 1 species